rnacentral:rRNA from 1 species
UACGAAGGGGGCGAGUGUUGUUCGGAUUUACUGGGCGUAAAGGGCGCGCAGGCGGCGCAUUUUGUCAGGCGUGAAAGCCCCGGGCUUAACCUGGGAACUGCGUUUGAUACGGAUGGGCUAGAGUUCGGGAGAGGAGAGUGGAAUUCCCAGUGUAGAGGUGAAAUUCGUAGAUAUUGGGAAGAACACCGGUGGCGAAGGCGGCUCUCUGGACCGAGACUGACGCUGAGGCGCGAAAGCGUGGGGAGCAAACAGG